rnacentral:tRNA from 1 species
GGGCUGGGGCUUAGUGGCAGAGCACUUGCCUGGCAUGUGUGAGGCACUGAGUUCAAUCCUCAGCACCACA